GCUGACAGUGGUAACGUAAAUGUGCACAGAUCCACUACUAUAGGAUAUACUGUACUCGGUGGGGACACUGCACAUAACAAGAUAGAAGAUUGGCUUGCAGAAAUGAAGAAUACAACGUAUUUUUCAAUGAACACCCUUUUCAAUGGCAGCACACACCCUAGUACCUCACUAGUGACGUCAUCAUCCAACAUGACCGGAAAUACGUCAGAGGACGCAGACAAUUUAAUAAACACCUUUAUUUCGUCGGGUCUGAAAAUUGACGCAAUUAAUGACAAAUACUUUUCCACGGUUUUACUUCCGUCAUUCGUCUACGCAUGCGUACUCUUGACUGUUGGAAUUCCUGGGAAUAGUUUAGUGGUGUACGUUUACGGGUUUAAAAGCAAGAAAACUGUUUCCCGGUUAUUUAUUCUAACACUGGCAAUUCUUGAUUUAAUCAACUGUUUAUUUUCGAUAUCAACAGAACUUUUCCUUAUGUGGAAUUUUUUAAAAUUCGACUUCCCAGCAAUCUGUAAGAUAAGCCGGUUUAUAACAUCAUUCUGUAAUCACUCGACAACGAUUGUGUUGCUUACUAUAGCCAUCGACAGGUUUAGAAAGAUCCGCCAUCCACUUAAGACAAAAAUGAAGAUGUCCACAGCAAAAAGAAUUAUGAUUUUUUCGAUGAUAUUCGGAUGUUUAACAGGAAUUCCUUUUGCGUUAUUUUACGGCACAAAAACACUGGUGCUGACAACUGUCGUAACGGACACACAGAGAUUUGUGUAUGAGGGUAAAACGUGUCUCCCGCGUGACGGCUUGGACAUCAUCUACAAAGAGAUUCUGCUGAUAGUACUAUCAAUUGCGCAUGUUGUGAGUGACGUUAUCCUCGUUGUGCUCUACUCAUUUGUCGGGAAAGCUGUCCUAUCUAGCAACAAGUCUUUUCGUCGCGUAGAUCCUACAUCAAAUAAGUCUCACUCAAAUAGGAAAAUUAGCUUCGAACUUGGAAGACGCAACACCUCGCGUUCGAAUAGCACCUCUUCCGUACCUGGUAACGUCAGCAGAACAAACACCAUGUUAUUUCUGGUGACCCUCGUCUUUAUCCUGUCAUUCGUGCCCUAUUUGAUAUUGGCGUAUAUCCGGACAUUUCAAAGCGAGACUCACAACACUUCAUCAUUACAUAAAGCAAUUCAACAAUUGUUUCUCCGAAGUUACUUCUUAAACAGUGCGGUCAACCCGAUUGUGUAUUGUUUUGUGUGCAAACACUUUCGCCAAGAAGCGAUAACAGGUAUUCGCCGGAUGUUCUCCAGGAAUCAAACGAAGUAUCGGCCAAGUAGACCCACUGCAAUACAUAACUAAUGACUCGCGUAACGAGAACAAUUCGAGACUUGCUGUUCGGAUAUUGUGGUCCUUCAUUAAUGUAGGAAAUAUUGAUUCCAUGGUUCUAGGAAAUUCACCUCUUAAACGAGACAUAAUUCACUAUUUCAAAUAAUUCAUCUAUUACAUAUUAGUGUCUGUAUCUGUGUAAUAACUACCAUAUUUAUCAUAUGCAAGUUGACAACAGUUUGUUGACAGGUUGGGGUGACGUCAUACAUCAUUUGCAUGAACAAUAUUGUGAAAUACGUAAUAUAACAGGCAGUAUAACAUACAAGAUGGUGUACAAUGUAGAACGUGAUAUUAUGGCCUUGAACAAACAACAGGGGUUGUUAGAUGAUAGUAUGGCUUUCGGAGUAUUAAGUGAUAUUACGGCCGUGAACUAAGAAUACGGAUUAUUAGGUGAUAUUACGGCCGUGAACUAACAAUACGGAUUAUUAGUUGAUAUUACGGCCGUGAACUAACAAUACGGAUAAUAAGGUGAUAUUACGGCCGUGAACUAACAAUACGGAUUAUUAGGUGAUGUAACGGCCGUGAACUAACAAUACGGAAUAUUAGGUGAUAUUACGGCCAUGAACAAACAAUACGGAUUAAUAGGUGAUAUUACGGCCGUGAAAUUACGGCCUUGAACAAACAACAGGGGUUGUUAGAUGGUAUGGCCGUGAACAUACAAUACGGAAUAUUAAGUGAUAUUACGGCCGUGAACACACAAUACACCCCGGGGUGUUAGGUGAUAUUACGGCCGUGAACUAACAAUACGGAUUAUUAGUUGAUAUUACGGCCGUGAACUAAGAAUACAGAUUAUUAGGUGAUAUUACGGCCGUGAACACACAAUACACCCCGGGGUGUUAGGUGAUAUUACGGCCGUGAACUAACAAUACGGAAUAUUAGUUGAUAUUACGGCCGUGAACUAAGAAUACGGAUUAUUAGGUGAUAUUACGGCCGUGAACUAACAAUACGGAUCAUCAGGUGAUAUUACGGCCGUGAACUAACAAUACGGAGUAUUCGGUGAUAUUACGGCCGUGAACUAACAAUACAGAUUAUUAGGUGAUAUUACGGCCGUGAACUAACAAUACAGAGUAUUAGGUGAUAUUACGGCCGUGAACUAACAAUACGGAUUAUUAGGUGAUAUUACGGCCAUGAACUAACAAUACGAAGUAUUAGGUGAUAUUACGACCGUGAACAAACUAUACGGAGUAUUAGGUGAUAUUACGGCCGUGAACUAACAAUACGGAUCAUCAGGUGAUAUUACGGCCGUGAACUAACAAUACGGAGUAUUAGGUGAUAUUACGGCCGUCAACUAACAAUACGGGUGUUAGGUGAAAUAACGGCCGUGGACAAACAAUACGGAGUAUUAGGUGAUAUAACGGCCGUGAACUAACAAUACGGAGUUUAAGGUGAUAUUACAUAAUGCGGAGUAUUGCGCAAUAUUCCGGCCAUUAAGAAACUAUUCUGUUUGGAUAUUGAUAUUAUUGUGUUGAACUACGAACUAUGAAUAUUUGUUAAUUAUUAACCUUGUACUUUGCAUAUUAUUAUCCAAGGAAGAACAGUAGUUGUGUGAUUGUUAUGAAAUAAAAACAAUUAUCAGUAUGUC